AUUGAACGCUGGCGGCAGGCCUAACACAUGCAAGUCGAACGGUAACAGGAAGAAGCUUGCUUCUUUGCUGACGAGUGGCGGACGGGUGAGUAAUGCCUGGGAAACUGCCUGAUGGAGGGGGAUAACUACUGGAAACGGUAGCUAAUACCGCAUAAUGUCGCAAGACCAAAGAGGGGGACCUUCGGGCCUCUUGCCAUCGGCUGUGCCCAGAUGGGAUUAGCUAGGAGGUGGGGUAACGGCUCACCUAGGCGACGAUCCCUAGCUGGUCUGAGAGGAUGACCAGCCACACUGGAACUGAGACACGGUCCAGACUCCUACGGGAGGCAGCAGUGGGGAAUAUUGCACAAUGGGCGCAAGCCUGAUGCAGCUAUGCCGCGUGUAUGAAGAAGGCCUUCGGGUUGUAAAGUACUUUCAGCGGGGAGGAAGGGAGUAAAGUUAAUACCUUUGCUCAUUGACGUUACCCGCAGAAGAAGCACCGGCUAACUCCGUG
rnacentral:rRNA from 1 species